GUUCAAACGAGGAAAGGCUUACGGUGGAUACCUAGGCACCCAGAGAUGAGGAAGGGCGUAGUAAGCGACAAAAUGCUUCGGGGAGUUGAAAAUAAGCGUAGAUCCAGAGAUUCCUGAAUAGGUCAACUUUUUGAACUACUGCUAAAUCCAUGGGCAGACAAGAGACGAACUGGCGAACUGAAACAUUUAGUAGCCGGAGGGAUAGAAAGUAAAAGCGAUUCUUGUAGUAGCGGUAAGUGAAAUGGGAGCAACCUAAAUUGCGAAAACAGGGUUGUGGGAGAGCAAUAAAAGCAUCCUGCUACUAGGCGAAGCACUGAAAUGUCAAACGCUAGAUGGCCAUAGUCUAGUAGCCAAAAGCACCGCUAGUUUACGCUCUGACUCUAGUAGCAUGGGGCACGUGAAAUCCCGUGUGAAUCAGCAAGGACCACCUCGCAAGGCUAAAUACUCCUAGGUGACCGAUAGCAAAGUAGUACCGUAAGGGAAGGGUGAAAAGAACCCCCGUCGGGGAGUGAAACAGAACAUGAAAUCGUAAGCUCCCAAGUAGUGGGAGGAGCCCAGGGCUUUGACCGCGUGGCUGUUGAAGAAUGAGUCGGUGAAUCAUAGGCAGUGGCUUGGUUAAGGGAACCCACUAAAGCCUUAGCGAAAGCGAGUCUUCAUAGGGAAAUUGUCACUACUUACAGACCCGAACCUGGGUGGUCUAUCCAUGACCAGGUUGAAGUUUGGGUGAAACUAACUGAACGUCUGAACCGACUAAUGUUGAAGAAUCAGCAGAUGAGUUGUCAUUAAGGCUAAAAUGCCACUCGAACUCAAAGCUAGCUAGUUCUCCCCGAAAUGCGUGAGGCGUAGCAGUUGACUGGACAUCUAAGGGUAAAGCAUUGUUUUGGUGCGUGCCGCGAGAGUGGUACCAAAUUGAGGCAAACUCUAACUACUAGAUAUGACCUCAAAAUAACAGGGGUCGAGGUAAACCAGUGAGACAAUAGGUUAUAAGCUUCAUCAUCGAGAGGGAAACAACCUGGAUCACCAGCUAAGGCCCCUAAAUGAUCGCUUAGUGAUAAAGGAGGUAGGGUGUAGAGACAUCUAGGAGGUUUGCCUAGAAGCAGCCACCCUUGACAGAGUGCGUAAUAGCUCACUGAUCGAGCGCUCUUGCGCCGAAGAUGAACGGGGCUAAGCGAUCUGCCGAAGCUGUGGGAUGUAAAAAUACAUUGGUAGGGGAGCUUUCAGCCUUAGGGGGAAGCACCCGCGUGAGUGGGAGUAGAUGAAGCAAAAGCGAGAAUGUCGGCUUGUGUAACACAAACAUUGGUGGGAAUCGAAUGCCUUGAAAACCCAAGGGUUCCUCCGCAAGGUUCGUCCACAGAGGGUGAAUCAGGGCCUAAGAUCAGGCUGAAUGGCAUAGUCAAUGGAGAACAGGUGAAUAUUCCUAUACUACCCCUUGUUGGUCUUGAGAGACGGAGGAGGCUAAAUUAGCCAAAAGAUGGUUAUCGGUUCAAGGACGCAAGGUGCCCCUAUUUUUUCAGGCUAAGAAGGGGUUGAGAAAAUGCCCCGAGCCAAUGUUUGAGUACCAGGCACUAUGACGUUGAAGUAACCCAUGCUAUACUCCCAAGAAAAGCUUGAAAGACCUUUAACAAAAGGAUACCUAAGGGCGCGAGACAACUCUCUCUAAGGAACUCGGGAAAAUAGCCCCAUAACUUUGGGAGAACGGGUGCCUCCUCAAAAAGGGGGUCGUAGUGACCAGGCCUGGGUGGCUAUUUACCAAAAACAUAGGUCUCAGCAAAGUCGUAAGACCAUGUAUGGGGGAGCCAGCGAACGAAGGAGUGUGUAAUAGCUUAGUGAUCAAGCGCUCUUGCGCUGAAGAUGAACGGGGCUAAGCGAUCUGCCGAAGCUGUGGGAUGUAAAAAUACAUUGGUAGGGGAGCUUUCAGCCUUAGGGGGAAGCACCCGCGUGAGUGGGAGUAGAUGAAGCAAAAGCGAGAAUGUCGGCUUGUGUAACACAAACAUUGGUGGGAAUCGAAUGCCUUGAAAACCCAAGGGUUCCUCCGCAAGGUUCGUCCACAGAGGGUGAAUCAGGGCCUAAGAUCAGGCUGAAUGGCAUAGUCAAUGGAGAACAGGUGAAUAUUCCUAUACUACCCCUUGUUGGUCUUGAGAGACGGAGGAGGCUAAAUUAGCCAAAAGAUGGUUAUCGGUUCAAGGACGCAAGGUGCCCCUAUUUUUUCAGGCUAAGAAGGGGUUGAGAAAAUGCCCCGAGCCAAUGUUUGAGUACCAGGCACUAUGACGUUGAAGUAACCCAUGCUAUACUCCCAAGAAAAGCUUGAAAGACCUUUAACAAAAGGAUACCUAAGGGCGCGAGACAACUCUCUCUAAGGAACUCGGGAAAAUAGCCCCAUAACUUUGGGAGAACGGGUGCCUCCUCAAAAAGGGGGUCGUAGUGACCAGGCCUGGGUGGCUAUUUACCAAAAACAUAGGUCUCAGCAAAGUCGUAAGACCAUGUAUGGGGGAGCCAGCGAACGAAGCUCCAGUGAGCGGCAGUCGUAACUAGAACAUUCUUAAGGUAGCGAAAUUCCUUGUCGGGUCAGUUUCGACCCGUAUGAAAGGCGUAAUGAUCUGGGCACUGUCUCAGAGAGAGGCUCAGUGAAAUAGACAUGUCUGUGAAGAUGCAGACUACCCGCACCUGGAUAGAAAGACCCUAUGAAGCUUCACUCUUCCCUGGGAUUGGCUUUGGGCCUUUCUUGAGCAGCUUAGGUGGAAGGCAAAGAAGGCCUCCUUCCGUGGAGCCCGAGCCAUCAGUGAGAUACCACUUUGGAAGAGCUAGAAUUAUAACCUUGUGUCAGGACCUAUGGGCCAAGGGACAGUCUCAGGUAGACAGUUUCUAUGGGGCAUAGGCAUGUCAAAAGGUAACAGAGGCGUGCAAAGGUUUCCUCGGGCGGAUGGAGAUUGGCCCUCGAGUGCAAAAGAAGGGAGCUUGACUGCAAGACCCACCCGUCGAACAGGGACGAAAGUUAACCUUAGUGAUCCGAUAGUGCCAAGUGGAAGGGCCGUCGCUCAACGAAUAAAAGUUACUCUAGGUAUAACAGGCUAAUCUUCCCUAAGAGCUCACAUCGACAAGAAGGUUUGGCACCUCGAUGUCGACUCUUCACUACUUGGGGCUGUAGUAUGUUCCAAGGGUUGGGCUGUUUACCCAUUAAAGCCAUACGUGAGCUGGGUUCAGAACGUGGUGAGACAGUUCAGUCCAUAUCUAGUGUGGGUGUUAGAGCAUUGAGAGGACCUUUCCCUAGUAAGAGAGGACCGGGAAGGACGCAUCUCUGGUGUACCAAUUAUCGUGCCCAUGAUAAAUGUUGGGCAGCAAAGUGCGGAGCGAGUAACUGCUGAAAGCAUCUAAGUAGUAAGUCCACCCCAAGUUGUGUGCUCUCCUAUUCCGAAUUCCCCAGAGCCUCUGGUAGCAUAGCCGAGAUGGCAAGGGGUUCUCUGUCCCUAUGAGGAUCGAAUGACAAAAAUUUUGAGAAUUCAAAAGAAGGUCACAGCGAGACAAGUCGCUUAUCAUUACGAUAGGUGUCAAGUGGAACUGCAGUGAUGUAUUCAGCUGAGGCAUCCUAACAGACGGGGAGACUUGAAACU
rfam:Gossypium hirsutum cultivar TM-1 chromosome 25, whole genome shotgun sequence